UGGGGAAUAUUGCACAAUGGGGGAAACCCUGAUGCAGCGACGCCGCGUGAGUGAAGAAGUAUUUCGGUAUGUAAAGCUCUAUCAGCAAGGAAGAUAAUGACGGUACUUGACUAAGAAGCCCCGGCUAACUACGUGCCAGCAGCCGCGGUAAUACGUAGGGGGCAAGCGUUAUCCGGAUUUACUGGGUGUAAAGGGAGCGUAGGUGGUAUGGUAAGUCAGAUGUGAAAGCCCAGGGCUCAACCCUGGGACUGCAUUUGAAACUACCAAACUAGAGUGCAGGAGAGGUAAGUGGAAUUCCUAGUGUAGCGGUGAAAUGCGUAGAUAUUAGGAGGAACACCAGUGGCGAAGGCGGCUUACUGGACUGUAACUGACACUGAGGCUCGAAAGCGUGGGGAGCAAACA
rnacentral:rRNA from 1 species